CUUAAUUACCAAUUGUAAUUGGAAAUAAAGCCAUAUCGAAUUUAUGGCCUUAUUACCAAAAAAAUAUGGCCUUAUUGCACCCCACCCUAACGCACGCCAGCGAACUUUUGUUUAAAAUGUGAGUUUUUAUUUAUUUUCUAUAAAAAUUUGCAUAAAGCUUAGUAAAAACUUGCAGCUGCUUUUGGACCUGAUGCAGUCUCAUCCCGAUAUUGCGCGAGGAUUUCAUAAAGGCAGCAAAGACGAGCUUGUGAGAUUUUGGCGUAAGGCGGAAGAAGAACUAAACUGUGCAGGGUCUCCAAGUAAAAACAUAUCGGAGUGGAAAAAGGUGUGGGCAGACCAAAAGAAAUAUGUGCGACAAAAGGCGGCCCAAAUUUAAAAGCGAGCAGAGCAACUGGUGGGGGCCCAAAUUUUGAGCAGAAGUUUUCGGCCAAUGAAGAGGCUAUUUACAGCUUAAUUGGCAUGAAGGUAUGAGUGGAAGGCGUGGCGAACAAAUUCGGGCUGAGCUCCACAAACGACAAUGGUAAAUACCGAAAUCCAGACAUCGAAGACACAGAGGUGGUUGAAGUACCGUUGGUGGAGCGUGAAGUAGAAGUCACCUCAAAUGCGUUGAUAGAAAACUCCGAAGCAACUGACUAUCAAACGCCACCCUCAAAAAAAUCGCAAACAAGUGUUAAAAACAGCAACAGCCAAGUGUCACGCCAAACGCCAACGCAAAAACUUUAUUCUUAUGAUGUCCUCGAGGAAGAGAUUGUCAUACAUAAAGCAAUGUGUGGCAGUAUUAAAGUUGCUGCUUCAGAAAUGAAAGACCAGCAACAGUACACCAAGAAAACUUACAUUCCAUCGACAGGCUUUAUAGCCUGCAGAAAGAACAUUUCGAAGACAUAACGUCUAUAAAAAAGAAAAACUAGAAGAAAUAAAGCGGCAUAAUCUAGUCAUGGAAAGAUUGAAGCUUAGAGAGGUGGAAGACAAAAUUGA